GACGAACGCUGGCGGCGUGCUUAACACAUGCAAGUCGAACGGUGAAGGGACCAGCUUGCUGGUUCUGGAUGAGUGGCGAACGGGUGAGCAACACGUGAGUAACCUGCCCCCUUCUUCUGGAUAACCGCAUGAAAGUGUGGCUAAUACGGGAUAUUCUGGGUCUGUCGCAUGGCGGGCCCGGGAAAGAUAUUGCUUCGGUGGGGGAUGGGCUCGCGGCCUAUCAGCUUGUUGGUGGGGUGAUGGCCUACCAAGGCGGUGACGGGUAGCCGGCCUGAGAGGGGGGACGGUGACACGGGGACUGAGACACGGCCCAGACUCCUACGGGAGGCAGCAGUGGGGAAUAUUGCACAAUGGGCGCAAGCCUGAUGCAGCGACGCCGCGUGAGGGAGGGAGGCCUUCGGGUUGUAAACCUCUUUCGCCAGUGAAGCAGGCCUGCUCCUUGUGGGUGGGUUGACGGUAGCUGGAUAAGAAGCGCCGGCUAACUACGUG
rnacentral:rRNA from 1 species